rnacentral:rRNA from 1 species
CACGCCGCGUGAACGACGAAGUACUUUGGUAUGUAAAGUUCUUUUAUCAAGGAAGAAAAGCAAGUGGCGAACCAUUUGUUUGCCGGUACUUGAUGAAUAAGCCCCGGCUAAUUAUGUGCCAGCAGCCGCGGUAAGACAUAAGGGGCAAGUGUUAUCCGGAAUUAUUGGGCGUAAAGGGUGCGUAGGCGGUCUAGUAAGUCAGUGGUGUAAUGGCAACGCUCAACGUUGUCCGGCUAUUGAAACUGCUAAACUUGAGUUAGAUAGAGGCGAGUGGAAUUCCAUGUGUAGCGGUAAAAUGCGUAAAUAUAUGGAGGAACACCAGAGGCGUAGGCGGCUCGCUGGGUCUUAACUGACGCUGAGGCACGAAAGCGUGGGGAGCAAACAGGAUUAGAUACCCUGGUAGUCCACGCCGUAAACGAUGAGUACUAAGUGUCGGGUUAAACCGGUACUGAAGUUAACACAUUAAGUACUCCGCCUGAGUAGUACGUACGCAAGUAUGAAACUUAAAGGAAUUGACGGGACUCCGCACAAGCGGUGGAUCAUGUUGUUUAAUUCGAAGAUACCCGAAAAACCUUACCAGGUCUUGACAUGUUUUUGCGAAACGGUAGUAAUAUCGUAGAGGUUAUCAGAAACACAGGUGGUGCAUGGUUGUCGUCAGCUCGUGUCGUGAGAUGUUAGGUUAAGUCCUAAAACGAGCGAAACCCUUAUCGUUAGUUGCCAGCACGUUAUGGUGGGGACUUUAACGAGACUGCCAGUGAUAAACUGGAGGAAGGUGAGGAUCACGUCAAAUCAGCAUGCCCCUUAUGACCUGGGCUACAAACGUGAUACAAUGGC